UUUGAAGUACAAUGGAAACAUUACGAAUAUGCAGAAACACAUCAACAAACACCACAUGUCUGUUUCAUCUUCAUCUUGUACUGCUACUACAUGUAGUGACACUGAUAGUAAGGCAGAGAAAGUGAAGAUCAAUGCGUCACAACGACGAACAGUAAGUGGACAAUUACGUCUGACAGAAUUAAAUUCCACAAAGUAUUCAUUCGACUCCCAGAGGGCAAAAACGUUGAACAGAAAAAUUGGAGUGUUUAUUGCUAAAGAUUUGAGGCCACUGUCUAUCGUCGAUAACUUGCAUUUUCAUGAGUUCGUCACAGAGUUUGACCCAAGAUAUUCUUAACUUACAAGAAAAUACUUUUUAGAUAAAGUUAUCCCUCAAUUGUACAGCGAAGUAAAAGACAUAAUAAUUGAUGAACUCAAAGAAACAGAGUCUGUUGCAUUUACCACUGAUUCAUGGACCUCCAGAACAUGUGAAAGUUAUGUCACGAAUACUGUGAAAUUUAUGAAGUCUGAUUGGAAUAUGAAGUCCUAUGUACAUGUACUACAGACAAGACCUUUAGAUGUCUCCCACACUGGACUGAACAUAGGUAAUGUACUAAAGGAAUCAAUCACAGAAUGGAAAUUGCCAACAAAACAUGAAAUAGGACUAGUGACAGACCAUGCAUCCAACAUGGAAAUUGCAGCCAAAGCAGCUGAUUUACAUCCUCACACGGGCUGUUUUGCUCACACAGUUAAUUUGGCAUGUCAAAGGGGACUGAAAGUUUCUGCACUGGGCAGGCUGCAUGGCAGGAUUUAUCCAAUGAAAGCAGUUCUAGAAAAUAUGGCAGAAAAUGUGCAGGAUUUCAAUCUUGUAAGAGAGGUGAAACAAGCCAUAAGAGAAAAUCUAUCAUAGCGAUACACAGGAGACAACAGAAUUUUUAUUGCUUUGUGCUGCAUUAGAUCCUCGCUUCAAAUGCCUUCCUAGACUUGAACAAAAUGGGAAAGAUGAAGUUUAUGGAAACAUGGAGAGAAAAGUACUUUUCUAGGAGAUGGGCCAGUGAAAGUUAGUACAAAGAAAUUAUUGAGUGAAUUGGACUCUAAUUUGUGUUGUUGUUUUUUUUUAUUUUUUUAUUAAGAUAAAAAAAAUAGAUAAAAACUGUUGUCAUUUAACAGAUGAGGAUAAGUACUAAGUAGUUUAAUCUCUCGAAUUAGAUCUGAAAAAAAGUACAUGUAAUCAUCAUGAUCAUUGAAGUCUAAAUUUGUUCAUUUAUUUGUAGGUCAAGAUUGAACCACUAGAACCAGGUACAGAAACUACAGACGCUCAGGCAUUGCCCUCUUUUCUGAACAACAAUUUACCAGAUUUCCCAACACUGAAUCAGAGUGAAGAUGCUCCGGCUGAAUGUGAUCUAGAGUGUCCACCACCACCAGCAACGAAAAUUAAGAAAUCAGCGAUAGAACAGCUUCUUGGAGAUGUGUAUAUUGUAUCUGCCACCCCUGGAAAAACAAUGGCACAAAGAGUAAAAUCAGAACUUGAAAACUUUAAGAAACAAUCCUCCAUCCCUUUAAAUGCCAAUCCCCUAUUGUAGUGGAAGACAAACGAAUAAAAAAACAAUGGCCCAAAGAAUAAAAUCAGAACUUGAAAACUUUAAGAAACAGUCCUCCACCCCUUUAAAUCCUAACCCUCUAUUGUGGUGGAAGACAAACGAAUCCCACUCUCCACUACUGGCAAGGCUGGCUAAAAAUCUACUGGGAAUUCCAUCAACCAGUGUGCCAAGUGAAAGGUAUUCAGCACAGUGGGGGACAUAGUCACUGCCACAAGGAGUGCACGGAGUGCUGAAAAUGUUGAAAGGCCCAUUUUUCUAAAAAAAAAAAAAAAAAAAGAACCUGUAAAAUGGUUUGGAGUUGUGAAGCUCAAGAAAUUAUUUUUUUUAUUUUAGUCAAGUAACUUUAAGUUAGUUAAACUGUUGAAAUUACGAACGUACUGUUGUUGUAUUUUUCUAUUUUGUUGCAAAUUAAAUAAAAUCAAAACACUU
rnacentral:sRNA from 1 species